rnacentral:rRNA from 1 species
CCUACGGGCGGCUGCAGUGAGGAAUAUUGGUCAAUGGUCGGGCGACUGAACCAGCCAAGCCGCGUGAGGGAUGAAGGUACAGAGUAUCGUAAACCUCUUUUGUCAGGGAACAAAGGCGGGGACGCGUCCCCGGAUGAAUGUACCUUAAGGAAAAGCAUCGGCUAACUCCGUGCCAGCUGCCGCGGUAAUACGGGGGAUGCGAGCGUUAUCCGGAUUUAUUGGGUUUAAAGGGUGCGUAGGGGGUCUGUUAAGUCAGCGGUAAAAGCCCGGGGCUCAACCCCGGCCCGCCGUUGAGACUGGCAGUCUCGAGUUGGAGAGAGGUAUGCGGAAUGCGCGGUGUAGCGGUGAAAUGCAUAGAUAUCGCGAAGAACUCCGAUUGCGAAGGCAGCAUGCCGGCUCCACACUGACGCUGAGGCACGAAAGCGUGGGUAUCGAACAGGAUUAGAUACCCUAGUAGUC